UGCCAUCUCAAAAAAAUUAGAAAAAUGGGUUGUUUUUUUUAAAAACUGGAAAACAUUCGAGGCCAGCCUGGUCUACAGGAUAAGUUCCAGGACAGCCAGGACUGUUAACACAUAUAAACCAUGUCUGGAAAAACAAAAACUGAAAAAACAAAACUGGGGGCUGGGCAUGGUAGCACAUGCCUUUAAUCCCAGAAGUAGACAGAAGCAGAUGGAUCCAGUCAAGGCUAUAGCAAGAGCCUGUCUCACAAAUAAAAACAUGUUUAGAAGGUCAGGUAGGAAGGAAUUUAGAAACUAUCAACAAACAGAAAUGUAGAGGCAAACACAAAGAAUGAUGGGCAUCAACCAGCUACAGUGAAGAGAAAAAUAGUAUAAAAUCUGUAAGGUAUACAAAAUAAAAACAAAUAGCUGGUUCUGAAGAAAAAUUCCAGAGGCUAAAGCAGCUGGGUGUGAUAGUAUAUACACAGCUGAAAUCCCUCCGAUAUUAGCAAAUGGAGUAAGAGGACUUAAGUGCAGCCUGUGCUCCAGGAGACAGUCUCAAAAGGAAGAUCACCAGCUUACAGUCACCAAAAGGGUAAAAAGUCACCUGGUACAAUCAACUGCAUAUCCAAAAAUAAAAUAAGUUUAGAUGCAGAUCAAAUCCCAGAGUUUAAUAAGUGAUGUUAAUUUAAUCAAGUAUCUGAGAAACAAUGGGUCUUGACCAUUUUCUUUAGGGUAAAACAUCAAAGUAUUCUUAAAUACUACUCUUACUCUUAGUAAAACUGGAGAACAGGUCUGUGGUUAAGAAGCAUUCCCUGCUCUUCCAGAGUUCUGUUCCCAGCACCCACAUCAAGCAGCUUACAAGUGCCAGUAAUUUCAGCUUCAGAAGAUCCAACACCACCCUCUUCUGGCCUUAUGGACACACACAGUGCAUACACGAAAGUAAAGUUUAAAUUCUCUUGAUAUACUGAAUUGCUGAAUGCUGUUAUGAAAACAUUGUGUGCAUACAGCAUCUAUUUUAGUAAGCUUUUUCAUUUGCUAAUCCUGACUUGCUGGCAGCUACCCUCAAAUAGCUGUCAAAUAUUUCCUCAUCUGUAUACUAAGACAUACAAAGGUAAAAUAAAUAGCUAAACACUAUCACUAAUAACCAACAUUUCAUUCUAGGUCUUCAGAUGAAGGAAAGAAAUUUGAAAGAUCAUUAUUUAUGUCAUUUGUGAUAUGAAAAGAUAAAAUGUUAAACAAAACAGGCUAAGAAAAAUAUUGGCGGGCAUUCUGAAAUGAAGGUUAAGUCAGGGUCAUUAAGAAAAACUCAACACAGCCCAGCAGUAAGGUAGAGGCAUGUGGAUCUCUGAAUUUGAGGCCAGCAUGGUCUAAAGUGAGUUUC
rnacentral:lncRNA from 1 species